GACGAACGCUGGCGGCGUGCUUAACACAUGCAAGUCGAACGGGCCUGUCUUCUUUUUUGGGGGUGGGUUGAGUGGCGAACGGGUGAGUAUCACGUGAGUAACCUGCCCUUCGGUCCUGGAUAACCGCUUGAAAGGGCGGCUAAUACGGGGUGGUCCGGUUGGUCCGCAUGGGCUGGUCGGGAUAGAUUCACUGUUUUUGGUGUUUCGGCGGGGGAUGGGCUCGCGGCCUAUCAGCUUGUUGGUGGGGUGAUGGCCUACCAAGGCGGUGACGGGUAGCCGGCCUGAGGGGGUGGGCGGCCACACGGGGACUGAGAUACGGCCCAGACUACUGCGGGAGGCAGCAGUGGGGGGUAUUGCACGAGGGGCGGAAGCCUGAUGCAGCGACGUCGCGUGAGGGAUGGAGGCCUUCGGGUUGUGAACCUCUGUUUCCGGUGGUGAAGGCCCUGUCCGUGUGGUGGGGUUGACGGUAGCCGGGGAUGAAGCGCCGGCUAACUACGUG
rnacentral:rRNA from 1 species